UACGUAGGGGGCAAGCGUUGUCCGGAUUCAUUGGGCGUAAAGAGCGUGUAGGCGGCCAGGUAGGUCGGUUGUGAAAACUGGAGGCUCAACCUUCAGAGGUCGACCGAAACCAUCUGGCUAGAGUCCGGGAGAGGAGAGUGGAAUUCCUGGUGUAGCGGUGAAAUGCGCAGAUAUCAGGAAGAACACCCGUGGCGAAAGCGGCUCUCUGGAACGGUACUGACGCUGAGCAGCGAAAGCGUAGGGGUAGCGAAACGGG
rnacentral:rRNA from 1 species